UACGGAGGAUCCAAGCGUUAUCCGGAUUUACUGGGCGUAAAGAGUUGCGUAGGUGGUUUAAUAAGCGAAUAGUGAAAUCGUGAGGCUCAACCUUACGGCUAUUGUUCGAACUGUUAGACUUGAGAACGAGAGAGGUGGUUGGAAUUCCUGAUGUAGGGGUAAUAUCCGUAGAUAUCAGGAGGAACACCAAUGGCGAAGGCAGACCACUGGCUCGUUUCUGACACUGAGGCACGAAAGCGUGGGGAGCGAA
rnacentral:rRNA from 1 species